rnacentral:rRNA from 1 species
UCCCUAUGGGGUGCAGCAGGCGCGAAAACUUUACAAUGCGGGAAACCGCGAUAAGGGGAUACUGAGUGCCAGCAUCUUAUGUUGGCUGUCCACCUGUAUAAACAGCAGGUGUUAGCAAGGGCCGGGCAAGACCGGUGCUAGCCGCCGCGGUAACACCGGCGGCCCGAGUGGUGACCACUAUUAUUGGGUCUAAAGGGUCCGUAGCCGGUUUGAUCAGUCUUCCGGGAAAUCUGACAGCUCAACUGUUAGGCUUCCGGGGGAUACUGUCAGACUUGGGACCGGGAGAGGUAAGAGGUACUACAGGGGUAGGAGUGAAAUCUUGUAAUCCUUGUGGGACCACCAGUGGCGAAGGCGUCUUACCAGAACGGGUCCGACGGUGAGGGACGAAAGCUGGGGGCACGAACCGGAUUAGAUACCCGGGUAGUCCCAGCUGUAAACGAUGCUCGCUAGGUGUCUGGGACGGUGCGACCGUUUCAGGUGCCGCAGGGAAGCCGUGAAGCGAGCCACCUGGGAAGUACGGCCGCAAGGCUGAAACUUAAAGGAAUUGGCGGGGGAGCACUACAACGGGUGGAGCCUGCGGUUUAAUUGGAUUCAACGCCGGAA